GAGCUGAAAGCAAAGGGGGUUGCCCAAUACACAAAGCUUGCAUGUCGCAAGGCAUUGUGCUUAGGCACAGGGGUGUUGAAGGCAAAAAGGGUUGCCAAAGGCACAAGGGUGAUAAAGGGAAAAAAUGCAUUAUUAUUAUUUAGGAAAGAAUAAUAAUAAUAGCUUUUCUUUUCUUUUUUUAAUUUUUUUUUUGGGGUACCUUGUGGGUGUGGCCCGAUGUUUCAGCAAGUGGGAUGGGUUGGGCCACGUGGAGCUGGGCCGCUUGAACUUGCGUGAGCCCAGGUGUGGAGAGUUGAGGCAAGUAGUGAGGGCUUGGCAGGUGGGCCAUGUACAUGACCAUUGCCGUUCGGCAAGGGGGGCCAAGACUAUGCAAGUUGGGCUUCGUUAAGAUAUUUUGGUAAAAAAGGCUGGGCCUUCGGCAAGCUUGACUUGGAACUGUGUUUUUUGUGACCCUCCCCUCAAUUCUCAUAUGGCCCUUGCCGUUCGGCAAGGGUAGGCUUGGUAAAAAU
rnacentral:lncRNA from 1 species